CAGACAGACACACAACAGCAAAAGUCCAUUUAAUAGGAAGCCUUUGGAGGAUCCAUGUAUGCUGGAUUAUAAGGGGGUUGAGCUGGAGGAGCUGAGGCACCAGCUGUAAAAGAAACAAACAGACAAGCGCAACAGGAGACAACAAAACCCUUGGUUAGUUUAAAUCCACGAUGUUAACUUUACAGAAAACAAUAAAGAAGAAUUUUACUUCGAGGACUUUACACGCAUGACUAAAAAAAGAAGUUAACAGAAAUUCAAGGUUAUGAUUCAGAAAUGCUUAUUCACAAGGUGCUUAAGGUUUUCCUAGAAUUAUAUACAGAAGGGGAAAAAAAACAGCUGGAGAUGAAGAAGCCACGAGGACAGGAUUAAAGAUGAUCUCAUCAGGCAUACUGCUUCAUUGUGCAAAACUGUGUUUGCCCAGAAGAGAAGCUGUCAUUUUGAUGCAAGCAGGGACAUGCCACACAAAGUGCUCAGCUGAAGUGCCUUCCAGCAAGUGGCAUCAUCUAGCCAGCACAACUCACCACACAGUAUCUAUUAAGAGACACAAGACCUGUCCUCUCUAACCUUAUGAAAACAAGAUACAUAGCCAAGGACAAAGAAUGAUUUACUUCUAUUCUAGUCUACGCCAAGUACUGUCAUGGCAAAUUAUUUUAUUGGGAACACAAGAAUGACACGUUGCUACUUAAUGACUGACUCUUUCUAGUUUGUGUAGUUAAUUACCAACACAUUAAAAAGAUAGGAAUUAUUUUUAUACUUUGAUAAUGGCUUUCCUCUUUGGCUCAAGCAAGGAAACUUGACAUUAAAAAAACCCUUUGCUUCUUCAAUGUAGUUGUGGUUUCUGGACUUUGCAAAGUAGAAAAAAGAUUAAAUGAUUGCUAUUAUUGGAAUAAGUAUUUCUUCUAAAUAAAUAAUAUCCCAAAGUUACACAGGAAAGCUCCAAGGCUCAUGGUUAAUGAAUGAAAGGAAAGAUGCCUGCCAACA